GUGAUAGCACGUAGCUGGAAAUUGAUCGCUAGACCGUAAUUAGUGUUUGCAGAUCUGCUCAGUGGCAUCUGUCACGCCAUUAAUAUACUCCCAGUAAAACUUUUUAAUAUUAAAGU
rnacentral:sRNA from 1 species